rnacentral:lncRNA from 1 species
AAAAACAGAGUUAUUUCGCCAAAUUACAAUUUUUUCGUAAAAAAGACAAGAAGGGAACAAAAGAAUUGAAUGAAAUAAGACAUAAAGGAUUUUUCGCACUACAUGAGAUUUGAGUAUCAAAGAUUUCUUGCAGUGUUGGUACUAGCAGAGAGGCACAAAAAUUGGUGCCUCUAAUGUUAUAAUCAUGGAUAUCUCUUGGUAACUUACUAAGGAUGGUAAAAAUAACAAAGAGAUAACGCAUAGCAUAAUUAUUGGUGUUUGAACAAGAGAUCACUCCUGUUUUAAAGAUCUGAACUCAAAUUUUCACUAUCCAAACCAUAAUCAUCAGUGGGCACACAUCAUAGUUAGGCCGGCGCAUGUAAUUUUCUUGGCCAGUGACCAUAAACACACUGUCAAGGAAAUGAAAAUAUCUGUUACCUACUUACUACUCACAUCCCUAGCUAGUCUUCCGUUCUUGACUCAUGUUCCCUCCUUUGAAACAACAGCAUAUGGGGGGACACCUCACCCCAUAUUAAACAUAACCAUAAUCAUCGUGAUCAGAACAUAACAUCACCACCGAUUAACCUAACGACAUCUCCUCCCUACUUUAUUCGGCACUAACCACUAGUUAAUCACUAACCAGAAUCACACACAAGAAUGAAGCUAAUACCACUGCACUUAGCAAAGCAUGACUCUUAUUUUAUUUUGCUUGAGUACAC